AUCAGGCAGCCAGUGGGUCCAGGGCGAGGCUUUGCCAUUGCACAUCGGCUUAGCUGACCCUUGCGAUUACCCCAAAUGUGGGUAACUCGGUCGUAUAAUUUCUGGUAGUGGGGACUGCGUUCGCGCUAUCCCCGU
rfam:Ciona savignyi cont_39902, whole genome shotgun sequence.